rnacentral:sRNA from 1 species
CCUAUCUCUCUGUCUCUGAGUCUGUUUUAUCUUCUUGUGUUUUAUGCCUCUUACUUUCUCUCUCAGUGUCUCUGUCUCCUGCUCCCCAGUUCUCUUUUUGUACCUCUUCUCUCUCUGUCUCGUGUUGGCUUCCUGUCACCAAUUCCUCAUCUCCUCACUCACCCUCAGAUUAUCCAUCCAGCCCCAUGGCCUGCCCCUGGACUUCUCACCUUUGGUGGGUGCACAGUUGCCCACCCCUCCUGAAGCAAAGGCCCACCCUCGACCUCAGUUAUCACUCCCCCGACAGAGAUAAAGUUUAUCUCAAGGCUGGGGGAUAUGAAAGCUGCUUAUCAGCUGCCUCAGUAGAGAAAGUGCUGCCCUAACAGGAGGCACAGCAGCUGCACCUACAACUCUCCCUGGGCCCAGCCCCUCACCCCAGGCUAUUGAGAGACCUGAGUGAAAGAAACUGGAAUCUUCCCAGGCUUCUCACCCCAGGAGAAGGGAAAAGAUGCUCUUCUGUUGAAGACCGUUGGGUUAUUGUUAUAACACAGAGAAUGGUGGCAGAACAGAGAGCUCUCAAAUGCAAUGGAGACCUGAGCAGAAUUCAAAGUCAAGGCACAAAUUCCUGUGACCGGAAUCUUCUCAGAGGUACAUUAUGUUUCCUCUCUGUCAACUGGAGGAGAGAAGGGGGCUUGACUUUUUAGAGUUAUGAGUGUCUUAAAGAGAGAGGCCCAAAAAGUUGAACUAUCUGGGGGCAUUUGUCAGGUAACAGGAAAGAUUGGGGUGAUCUUGAGCCACUGGGGUUCAGUGGAACCAUUGGGAAUGGAUAGAUAUGAAUAUCAUGGCUUAUAUAACCAUGAAAAUAUUAUCUGUACUACUUUGGUAGCCUAGAGAGAAUCAAAACUGACUGGUUUUUUUAUAAACAAUUCCUAAGACAGCGAUGGGGUGGAGGGACAACAAUCUCUGCCCCUGGAGCUUCUGAAGAAAACCCUGGCCACUUCGGUUUUGCUUUUUUGUUUUAAACUCACUGUGCCUGGAUAAUCAUGGUUGGCGUGCCUUCCAAAAGUUUGAAUAUUUGUUCAUGUGAAUGUGUUUAGGGUCAUUUUAUACGUCAUAAAAGCAACUGAUUCUGGCUCUAUUUCUUAAAGCUAAACUCCAAGGAUUCAGAAAACACAAAGAAGGUCUGGAGAAAUGGCUCAGUGGUUAAGAGCACUGGCUGCUCUUCCAGAGGACCU